UACGGGGGGGGCAAGCGUUGUUCGGAAUUACUGGGCGUAAAGGGCUCGUAGGCGGCCAACUAAGUCAGACGUGAAAUCCCUCGGCUUAACCGGGGAACUGCGUCUGAUACUGGAUGGCUUGAGUUUGGGAGAGGGAUGCGGAAUUCCAGGUGUAGCGGUGAAAUGCGUAGAUAUCGAGAGGAACGCCGGUGGCGAAAGCGACUUACUGGACCGUUUCUGACACUGAGGCGCGAAAGCUAGGGGAGCAAACAGG
rnacentral:rRNA from 1 species